CGGGGGAAGCCUGGUUCGAGCCCCUCUGCCUCACAGCCCCCAGACCCAGCCAGGGUCCAGGGCUGCUCAGAGCCCCCUUCCCUUGGAGCCAUGCCUGGAGGCUCUGCUGUCUAGGAGUGGUUGUGGAGCACCAAGAAACAGGUCUCCAGCCCAGCGGCCACAGCUGCGUGGGGCUCUCGUCCCUCCUCCCCUGGGGGGUCCCGGUGCCGGGGUGGUUUUGAGAACUAGAGACUGGAGGCCUUAUCAGACCACAGGUUUUCCUGAGGAAGGAAGGGUGGGUGUGGGCCUCCGGGAUGGGGCGCCUCCUCUGGGCGUGCCUGGCCUGGUGGAGGGUGCACACACAUGUUGCCCAUCCCUCCUGGCAGGAGGACAGCCUCUCCCUGGGAGACCCCAGCCCAAGGCCCAGCCCCUCCAAGGACAAACAGACCCAAAAGACCAGACAGACCCGGUAGGCUGGACUCAAGUUUCAGGAACCUCCAGGAGGUGCACCCUGUGAAAUCAUGGGCCAAUCCCAGCCUUUCUGGGAGAGCGUCCAUAGAGGCCCCAGAGGGAUGGUGGCUAGUUCCAAUGCAACUCCACUCCUAGGGGUGCCCAAGGGAAAUCUGGACUCAGGUUCACCAAAACCAUGUACAGAAUCUUCAAGGCCACCCUAUUUGUCACAGCCCCAAAGUGGAAAAACCCAGACGCCUGUCAGCAGCGGAGCAGACAAACGCAGCUGGGUCCAUCACACAGCAGAACGUGGGACAGCCUUGAGAACCAGCCACCUUCCGCUCUGGGAGCCACUGUGGACGCCUCGCCACGUGUCGUCCAGGCUAGGGCAGAACUGCUUCCACGACAGGCUAAGUGCAGAAACAGGUGCUGGUGACAAGGUGCAUUCAGUUUAUAAAAAUUCAUUAGGCCAUAUACUUAAGCACAUCCUGUCAGUCUGUCCAGUUACCCAAGCAGGAAGUGACGUCUCAUCUAAAACAGCCUCUAACAGUGAAUCACCUCAACAAACAGGGUGCCCACCCAAGAGAAAUGACACCUCUGCUGAGAAGCCAACCGCCAAAAACCAGCUCUUACAACUCCCAGCCCUCAUCUCCUUCCCCAUCAUGGCCCCUCCUUAUGCUUCUCAUGAUUCCAGUCAGUCUUUACAUCUUUUUAUAAGUUGAGCUUUACUGAAGUAUAAUUUACAUAUAAUGAUAUUCACCAAUUUUAAGCAUACAACUUGACGAGCUUCGAUAGUCGUAUGGUCAUGUAACCACACCCACCAC
rnacentral:lncRNA from 1 species